UCACCUCCCCCACCCGUAAAAUCACCUCCCCCUCCAGUAUACAUUUAUGGUUCUCCGCCACCACCAGUCCACUACUAAGCAAGUUGAAAAGCUUGGCCAUUUUCCACAACCACACAAAUUUCAGUUUAAAUCACAAAAUAAGUGAUGGCUUCUUGAGGGAAAGAUUCAGACGUCCAUGGUCAAAAGCAAUUAAUUUAAUCAAUAAGAUCAUCAACUUUGCAAUUCAGAGGUUGAUUCCAAGCGACUUGGACCACUUUGCUUCUACUUUUCUGGUGGCCUUCUUACACAUUGUUCUCAUUGUGUCUUCACGUGGAAGUGGCUUCAACAGCUUAGUUUUUUAUUAGAAUAUUAAUUAUUUAGUUGAUAUUUGAAGUGUAUUUGAGUUUUCAUGUUUUUUUAUGUUUCUUCUUUAUAAUUUAUUAUUGUAAGUAUAUCUUUGUUUGAUUUGUUUCGUGUUAAUUAUUGUUGGCUGUCUCCUAGUGCCUACUUGUGCUUUGUGCACCAAAUCAAUAAAGAGAUGAAUUUUGUUCA